GCUGUCAUCUGUCCCCACAUUGUUUUACGUGAAACGUAUGCUCAGCAGAACACCACUUAAAACCUUUUUUGGGAUUUGAAAAUGCAGUAAUGCCAGCCAUGGCAGGGAAGGCUUCUGCCUCUCACAGGCCAAAAAACAAAAAACAAACAAAAAAAAACCCACUGUUUCUACUCACUUAAAAACAUUUAUUGGUUAAUGUUGAGCACCUCAAGACCUCAUUAGAGUGUAGAGUGGCCACACUCCACACUGGAGAAUUUAGAGCUUCUCUGUCAAUGUUUCUCUCUGAUCUGGCUAUCAGUUUUGAGGAGAUGCUGAGCCUGGCAGCCGGCUGCCCACUCUACAUUAGGGUGAGGCCACCUCCCACCAGUGGAUUUUCCCUUAGCCCCACUACCACAGACAGACAUCACAGACAUGUGGGAGAUGCCCUGUCUCUCCACCUUCCCCUCAGGAGCAGGCCUUGUGUCCCACAGCCCCACAGCCCCGCCAUCCCUCUCAGCCUCCUGCCUCAAUCUCCCCCACCAGCGUGGGCCGGUGCAGGUGCCAAGAUGUCUCCCUUGGGCCUGGAGAAGAGGGAAAACACCAUGGUUGCGGGCUCCUGCACCCAGCCCAAACCCACCUGCCUCCUGGGGAAGCCCAUGGAGAGAAAUAAGAGAUGCCUGAAGGGAAGCAAGAAUGGAAAGCAUCCUUAAAAUGACUGAUUUACAAUUGUCUAAGAUGGUAAUGGCGAGGAGCACUACUGAUUUGUUCAUGCUUCAAGUAAAAGCAAUGUCCAUCAUGGCAUUUUGUGUAGAGUUUUGUCCAGUUGUCAGGUAGGUGUGGCUCAAACACUUUCAGCGAUGUAGAGGCAGUCGCCUUGAUUCUGGAUCUCAGGCUGAUUCAGUCUAUUUCACAAUCUAAUAUUUCUCAGAAAUCCUGCUGCUGCCUACCAGCAUAUGCAGCUGGGCAUUGUGUUGGACCAUCACAUCUAAUAUCCACCAAAGUGCUUGUCCCCCAUGAAUUUAACAUAUCCCUCUUUGAUACCUUUUGUAGUUUUGCUGUCUGUAUUUUACUGUAACAUGGCAUUCCAUAUUUUACUUUGGCGCUUUGUGAAACAGAUUGUCAUUUGUUUUCUGUUUGUUACCUGAUAAUUUCAUUCCAUACCUGCUAGUACUCAUAUUGUCAGAAACUGUGAUUCAUCUGCAGUUUUGUUGUCUAGUCACUCAGGACUGCAAAACCUUUCUAUAACAUUCACAUUCAGGUUUAGAUUUAGCCAUUUAAAAUAAUAUAGUAUCACUGCAACUUUAUUCAUUCCAGAUUUACAGUGUUUUCCAAACAAUUUAUGAAAAGUACGGAUCCUUAGGAAACUUCCACAUGUAGACUUCUUCCUCUGUGGAUCUGCAAUUUAUUCCUGGUCUUUGUUAGAUAGGAAUAUUUAAUUAGACAUUAAUCCAUGAGAGGACUUUCCAUCUUAUCAAUUAAUAAACUGUAAUACUCAAUAUAUAGAAAGAGAUUUCUUAUAUUUAAAAUUUGGCAUUCCUAUAGAGGGCUCCUGAACUAUGGAGCUAGUUACACCAUUAUCUCCAAGAAGAACACCUGGCUUAUUAUUAGUGAGCUACUCUGCAGAGCAUUAGUAGUAAGUGACACAGUGAUUAUCACUGUGGUGUUCACAUUUCCCCAUCACAUGCUGGGAUUGUUGUUUAAAAGUGUUUCUUGUGGACUUGUUUUGAAAAAUAAUCCUUGAUGCAGUAACCUAAGAACAUAAAAUAGGGUGACAUUUCAGUUGAUGUGUCUCCGGCUUUAAUUUGUAUUUAAUAAGCCAGUUUUGCCUAUGUUUAUUAAAAUUGGUUGACUUUUAAAAGAGCUCCCACUGAGUUUUAUGAAUAUGCAAAUUGUAUGUCUAUUUGGUAUAGAAUGAAACUCUCAAUUACAGUGACAAUAUAGAUGUAGUUAUAGUUUUAUUAAUCAAUUAACACAUAAGUAUUCUGAUUAGCACUUGACGUGACUAGUUAAAUACUUCUUUAUGUUGGGGGUACUGGAACUGCUUUCUUUAAGGAGAUUGAGUCUUAUGCCCAAAGAAAGAGUACCUGAAUGCACAUCUACACGUAAUAAAUAAAAGUAAGGGAAUUUGCUCUGAUAUUUGUACUUGUUGCUCUAA